CCCGUGAAAUCUCGUGUGAAUCUGGCAGGACCACCUGCUAAGCCUAAAUACUCCCUGGUGACCGAUAGCGGACUAGUACCGUGAGGGAAAGGUGAAAAGUACCCGGGAGGGGAGUGAAAUAGUACCUGAAACCGUGUGCCUACAAUCCGUCGGAGCCUUUAGGGGUGACGGCGUGCCUUUUGAAGAAUGAGCCUGCGAGUUAGUGGUGCGUGGCGAGGUUAACCCGUGUGGGGUAGCCGUAGCGAAAGCGAGUCCGAAUAGGGCGAAGUAGUCGCGUGCUCUAGACCCGAAGCGGAGUGAUCUACCCAUGGCCAGGUUGAAGCGCGGGUAAGACCGUGUGGAGGACCGAACCCACCAGGGUUGAAAACCUGGGGGAUGAGCUGUGGGUAGGGGUGAAAAGGCCAAUCAAACUCCGUGAUAGCUGGUUCUCCCCGAAAAUGCAUUUAGGUGCAGCGUCACGUGUUUCUUGCCGGAGGUAGAGCUACUGGAUGGCCGAUGGGCCCCACAAGGUUACUGACGUCAGCCAAACUCCGAAUGCCG
rnacentral:rRNA from 1 species